ACUCCUACGGGAGGCAGCAGUGGGAAUAUUGGACAAUGGGCGCAAGCCUGAUCCAGCCAUGCCGCGUGUGUGAAGAAGGCCUUAUGGUUGUAAAGCACUUUAAGCGAGGAGGAGGCUACUGAAGUUAAUACCUUCAGAUAGUGGACGUUACUCGCAGAAUAAGCACCGGCUAACUCUGUGCCAGCAGCCGCGGUAAU
rnacentral:rRNA from 1 species